rnacentral:rRNA from 1 species
UGCAGUCGAGCGGAGUGAUGGUGCUUGACUAUCACUUAGCGGCGGACGGGUGAGUAAUGCUUAGGAAUCUGCCAUUUAGUGGGGGACAACAUUCCGAAAGGAAUGCUAAUACCGCAUACGUCCUACGGGAGAAAGCAGGGGAUCUUCGGACCUUGCGCUAAAUGAUGAGCCUAAGUCGGAUUAGCUAGUUGGUGGGGUAAAGGCCUACCAAGGCGACGAUCUGUAGCGGGUCUGAGAGGAUGAUCCGCCACACUGGGACUGAGACACGGCCCAGACUCCUACGGGAGGCAGCAGUGGGGAAUAUUGGACAAUGGGCGGAAGCCUGAUCCAGCCAUGCCGCGUGUGUGAAGAAGGCCUUUUGGUUGUAAAGCACUUUAAGCGAGGAGGAGGCUACCUGGAUUAAUACUCUAGGAUAGUGGACGUUACUCGCAGAAUAAGCACCGGCUAACUCUGUGCCAGCAGCCGCGGUAAUACAGAGGGUGCGAGCGU